AUACCUACCUGGCAGGGGAGGUACCAUGAUCAUGAAGGUGGUUUUCCCAGAGCGAGGCUUAUGCAUUGCACUCUGAAUGUGCUGGCCCCUGUGAUUUCCCCAGAUGUGGGAAACUUGACUACAUGAUUUGUGGUAGUAGGGGGCUAUAUUCGUGCUCUCUUCUG